UUGGCGGCGACGGCGCACGGGUGCGUAACACGUAUGCAACCUUCCCGCCACUGGGGCAUAGCCCGGAGAAAUCCGGAUUAACACCCCAUAAUUCCCUGGAGGGCAUCUUCCGGGGCUGAAAACUCCGGUGGUGGCGGAUGGGCAUGCGCACGAUUAGCUAGUUGGUGAGGUAAUGGCUCACCAAGGCUACGAUCGUUAGGGGCCUGAAGGGUUAUCCCCCACACUGGUACUGAACACGGACCAGACUCCUACGGGAGGCAGCAGUGAGGAAUAUUGCGCAAUGGAGGCAACUCUGACGCAGCCAUGCCGCGUGCAGGAAGAAGGCGCUACGCGUUGUAAACUGCUUUUAUCCGGGAAGAAACCCCAGGACGUGUCCUGGGUUGACGGUACCGGAGGAAUAAGCACCGGCUAACUUCGUGCCAGCAGCCGCGGUAAUACGAAGGGUGCAAGCGUUAUCCGGAUUCAUUGGGUUUAAAGGGUGCGUAAGCGGGGCGUUAAGUCAGUGGUGAAAUCCUGCAGCUUAACUGUAGAAUUGCCAUUGAUACUGGCGCUCUUGAGUACGCUUGGCGUGGGCGGAAUGUGCCGUGUANCGGUGAAAUG
rnacentral:rRNA from 1 species